rnacentral:lncRNA from 1 species
AAGCUCUGAGGAACCAGAAGACAAGGUUUUGUCAGAAUCAGAAUCCGACUCCGAUUCUGAAGAGGUAUUCUCUAAUUUAUCUCGUUCUGAUAUUGAAAUUUGUCUUUCUAAAAUGCUGGAAAAAUAUCAGAGUCUUCAAAGAAAAUAUAAGUACCUUAAACAAGUCCAAGUAACUGCUUCUGAAACUCAGAAAGAACUUGAGAAUGAUAUUUCCUCUCUAAACGAAG